rnacentral:misc_RNA from 1 species
AAGUCGUAACAAGGUUUUCGUAGGUGAACCUGCGGAAGGAUCAUUAGAGAAUUUAAUGGGAGUCCCUCCUAACCGGAGAAGGCCCAAUUCUUCUAUUUCAAACCCUAGUGCAUUUGUCCCUUUUUUAAUUACCCUUUUAACCCUUUUGCAUUUGAAAAGGUUGUUUGUGUUUAACACAUUUUGAUAAAUGAAAGAAAAACUUUCAGCAAUGGAUCUCUUGGCUCUC